CCUACGGGAGGCAGCAGUGGGGAAUAUUGCACAAUGGGGGAAACCCUGAUGCAGCGACGCCGCGUGAGUGAAGAAGUAAUUCGUUAUGUAAAGCUCUAUCAGCAGGGAAGAAAAUGACGGUACCUGAGUAAGAAGCCACGGCUAACUACGUGCCAGCAGCCACGGUAAUACGUAGGGGGCAAGCGUUAUCCGGAUUUACUGGGUGUAACGGGAGCGUAGACGGAAGUGCAAGUCUGGAGUGAAAGGCGGGGGCUCAACCCCCGGACUGCUCUGGAAACUGUACGGCUGGAGUGCAGGAGAGGUAAGUGGAAUUCCUAGUGUAGCGGUGAAAUGCGUAGAUAUUAGGAGGAACACCAGUGGCGAAGGCGGCUUACUGGACUGUAACUGACGUUGAGGCUCGAAAGCGUGGGGAGCAAACAGGAUUAGAUACCCUGGUAGUC
rnacentral:rRNA from 1 species